GAGUUUGAUCGUGGCUCAGAUUGAACGCUGGCGGCAUGCCUUACACAUGCAAGUCGAACGGCAGCACGGGAGCUUGCUCCUGGUGGCGAGUGGCGAACGGGUGAGUAAUGCAUCGGAACGUAUCCUGGAGUGGGGGAUAACGUAGCGAAAGUUACGCUAAUACCGCAUACGUCCUACGGGAGAAAGCAGGGGACCUUCGGGCCUUGCGCUAUCAGAUGAGCCUAGGUCGGAUUAGCUAGUUGGUGGGGUAAUGGCUCACCAAGGCGACGAUCCGUAACUGGUCUGAGAGGAUGAUCAGUCACACUGGAACUGAGACACGGUCCAGACUCCUACGGGAGGCAGCAGUGGGGAAUAUUGGACAAUGGGCGAAAGCCUGAUCCAGCCAUGCCGCGUGUGUGAAGAAGGUCUUCGGAUUGUAAAGCACUUUAAGUUGGAGGAAGGGCAGUAAGUUAAUACCUUGCUGUUUGACGUUACGACAGAAUAAGCACCGGCUAACUCUGUGCCAGCC
rnacentral:rRNA from 1 species